UACGUAGGGGGGCUAGCGUUGUCCGGAAUCAUUGGGGCGUAAAGAGCGCGUAGGCGGCCCGGUAAGUCUGCUGUAAAAAGUCAAAGGCUUAACCUUUGAAAGUCAGUGGAUACUGCCGGGCUAGAGUCCGGAAGAGGCGAGUGGAACUCCUGGUGUAGCGGUGGAAUGCGCAGAUAUCAGGAAGAACACCAACGGCGAAGGCAGCUCGCUAGGACGGAACUGACGCUGAGGCGCGAAAGCGUGGGGGAGCAAACAGG
rnacentral:rRNA from 1 species